rnacentral:rRNA from 1 species
UACGGAGGGUGCAAGCGUUGCUCGGAAUUAUUGGGCGUAAAGGGUAGGUAGGUGGUCUCAUUUGUCUGGGGUGAAAGCCUCGAGCUUAACUCGAGAAGUGCCCCAGAAACGGUGAGACUAGAGUCCUGGAGAGGGUCGUGGAAUUCCCGGUGUAGCGGUGAAAUGCGUAGAGAUCGGGAGGAACACCAGAGGCGAAGGCGGCGACCUGGACAGGCACGUGACACUCAACUACGAAAGCGUGGGGAGCAAACAGG